rnacentral:rRNA from 1 species
UUUCGAAUCAUUCACAAUGGGCGAAAGCCUGAUGGUGCGACGCCGCGUGAGGGAUGAAGGUCUUCGGAUUGUAAACCUCUGUCACUGGGGAAGAAACGCUGAAUCCUAAUACGAUUCAGCCUGACUUAACCCGGAGAGGAAGCAGUGGCUAACUCUGUGCCAGCAGCCGCGGUAAUACAGAGACUGCAAGCGUUAUUCGGAUUCACUGGGCGUAAAGGGUGCGCAGGUGGCCAAGUGUGUCAGGUGUGAAAUCCCGGAGCUUAACUCCGGAACUGCGCCUGAAACUGCAUGGCUAGAGCAUUGGAGAGGGAAGUGGAAUUCACGGUGUAGCAGUGAAAUGCGUAGAUAUCGUGAGGAACACCAGAGGCGAAGGCGACUUCCUGGACAAUUGCUGACACUCAGGCACGAAAGCGUGGGUAGCCAAAGG